ACUGGGGCUCAGCAGGAAAUGAUGCAAUAGUUGAGCUACUGAUGAUGUAGCAGCAUUUACUCAGCUCUGCAAGUGAGUAAGUGAAUGCUUAUGCUUGGGUUGCAUUUACACUGCACUAACGCACUCAUGCAGAUUCAUUUAAUUCCCAUAAGGACUCUGUAAGGUAGGCCUGCUUAUGUUGUCUGUUUUACAGGUGAGGAAACGGAGGGACAGAGGAGAGAAGACACUUGCCCAGGUUUUCCUGCUAGAGCUGGAAUUCGAUCCCAGGGCUCCCAAGUGUAUGCUCCCAAAUUCAAUGCAAGAAUUGACCAAAGACCAAGGACAGUGGCAAGACUCCUCAAAAGAUUUACCUAUUAAGAUUUCAAGGCACUCGUUCUGGAGAAGGAACACGUUCCCAGCCAGCCAUGUGUGUACAUAUAUUUAGAGAACAUUCAUUUAGUCUCUUAAAAGAUCAAUUUGGCUUGUCAAUGGCAGGACUGGCACGGGAAGAAAUGUGACUGCAUCUCUGGGCACCAGGUCGUCAUCACUGCCGAGCCUCUCUACCAUGCUCCAUCUGUGUUUGAAAAUUAGAAAAAGGAACAUGGUGUACAGUCUUCCAGUUGGCCAUCCUCUUCACUCGCUCAGACUGAAACUACAGGUUUGUGGGAGUUCAUCUGGAGGGGAGAGACUGAGAUAAAAAAGUAAAGCAGGACACACACCCUCAGCUGAGGUAUUCAGCUCGAGGUGCCGGCUGCCUCUACUUUUGGCUCGCCGCCAUUGCCCAUGCUGGUAAAGCUACAGUGAUAAGAGCAGUGGCUUUUUAAGCAUCUCACUUAAGCAGUGACCUCCAUGCACAAAGGCUCGGAAAAGGAGGGAUCACCUUAUCUAAAGCUUUUGUUACUAAAUGUGCCAAAGUGAGAGGCUACAGUAAAAACUGUUUAGUGAUAUUAGGAUCAUAUAUGGUGUGCGUCUGUGUAUCGUGCGUGAGCUUGGGAGUGGGGGAGCAGGGUACAGUCUGUGUUCCUGCUUCUUGUUUCCCAUGUUUUCAGAAAGAGCCUAAUCUUUGGUGAAGGAGGAAUUAGACCCAGAAUAGUCCAAUAACUUGUCCCAAGUCACAUGAGAAGUGACAAAAUCCCUGCCCAGGCCCCAUACUCCUUGCAGUGUGGCAAUCUUAAAAUAGACCCUGCAGAUAAAGGAGAGGUGGCCUGGCUGGGAGUGGGUAUGAUUCACAAAGAAGGAAAUAUCAGAUAUUAAUCAUAUUAAAGGAGGAUUUAGAUUAUGCUAAAAGGAGCAGCCUGUUGGGGACCUCUUGAUGCCAGCGUCCCUUGUUUGUGUCAUUUUGGCCCUUGGGCUAUGAGUAGGGGAUUACAUUCCAACUAGGUAAGGCUUAAACAAGCCUGCCAAUCCUAAUGUGCACUUUAAGGAUUUGUUCGAAUUAUACGACAGAAAUGCAGGAAUCACCUCGUGACUCUUGGACAAUUCUUUUAUGAAGCUAGAUGUAAGGUGCCAUGUGAAUAUUUAUAUUAUAACAUAACAUAAAUGAUUCACCAGCAUACAGUAGAAGUUUCUUAGUUUAAGGUUUAGAGCCGCAGACUUAUCAGAAGGGUGGCACGGGGAAGAGAAGAGAUGAAGCCCUCCCCAAGAUUUCUUUAAAAUGUUUAGCCAAAACCAUUUCUUCAGCUUUGGAAGAAAUGUGCCAGUGUUUUGUCAAUGCAGUAAACUGCUGUGCUGUUACAACCAAGCCUUUAAAAACAGAGAUUUAAAAAUAGUAUUCACAAAGAAUCUCUCCCUUACAUGCCUGGCAAGAAACAGUGAUAUAGGUUUUGGGUAGCAAAGAUAAUUGAUAGCUUGUGAUACAAUAAGGCAAACUUUCCAGGAAAAAAGGUGACUUCUCCAAGGCUAAGCUUCCACAUUGGGUCUUUAUAAGCCUCAGUAAGUGAUGGGCACAGCGCAGGGCAGUGUGGAGGAAGGCCUAGAAGGAAUGAUUCAACAGGGAGAAGACAAGGGAUCAGGUCCCUUUGUUGAGAACGCUAGAACCAGGUGCCUCUCCUUCAAAAAUGAGAACUUCCUGGGCAUUUUUGGAUGCCUCCCUAGACAAGGAAAGCAAGAGUUUUACCACAAGGUCUCUGCAACAAGCAGAGGUGUGAGAAAAGAGUUCUGCCUUUUAGGGUGGCACGGCAACUCGCCAAGAUCCUACAAGAAGUGGACUCUGUCUGGCCAU